GACGAACCGUGCGAACGUUAUUCGGAAUCACUGGGCUUAAAGCGCGUGUAGGCGGGGCGUUGCGUCGGUCGCUGAAAUCCCCCGGCUCAACCGGGGAAGGGGCGCCGAUACGACCGCCCUGGAGCGACGUAGGGGGAACUGGAACUUCCGGUGGAGCGGUGAAAUGCGUUGAGAUCGGAAGGAACGCCCGUGGCGAAAGCGAGUUCCUGGACGUCGGCUGACGCUGAGACGCGAAAGCCAGGGGAGCGAACGGG
rnacentral:rRNA from 1 species